AUUGAUCCCUUCGGAAAGCGCGGUUACUUUAGCUUCACAGGGGUGGCAGAAGCUACCGGUAAACCUUUGUGCAGCAUUUUCGAUGGAGGGAUUUGCUCUGCGACGCUCUUUAUAGCCCUAGCAGCCACUCCUGAACAGGUGAACAAGACAAGGACCCCGGUAUAUAUGGCCCAUACAUAUCAAGCAACUUCGAUAAAAAAUCUUCAUCAUUUGGUCCAGGUCGCGAAGUCAAAGCGAUUUGCAAUGUACGACAACGGAAAGGUGGACAACCUCCUUAUAUAUAGAACGG